ensembl:lncRNA
GGUGUUUGCUUGCCCGCGGCCUGAUGAGAUGGAGGUGUGUGUGGAGCAGGAUGAGGUCACGCCCCCUUACCUGGAGCCAGCCGUCUCCACUCUCCUGCUGGGACCGCCCCCCGAUUGCUCCUCCAAUUGCAUCACAAUAACCAGCACUCAGCCCUCCCCUCAGCACAGCAGCCUAUCACCACGAGCCAGGCGCAGAGAGAGGGAGGGAUCGUUUGAAGGUUUUGGUCCAAUCUUCCAGAACUUUCCUCUUCUCUCGCCUCAGCCCCUCUCUCUGACGCCCAUCGGCCCCAGACCCGAUCCCAGAGCCUCGGACGAGGGAUCCCCCAAACGCCCCCCCAAAACCCCCCUCAAGCGCACCCCCACCGGACCCCCUGCCGACCUGCCCACAGACACCCCCAAACGCAAGGCCGUAGCCGCCAAGACCCAAGCUAGCGACAAAAUGGCUGCCAAACCUGUGGACAGGAAGCAAGAAGCUGCCUCUAAUUCGCC